rnacentral:rRNA from 1 species
UACGUAGGGUGCAAGCGUUAAUCGGAAUUACUGGGCGUAAAGGGUGCGCAGGCGGUUGGUUAAGUCAGAUGUGAAAUCCCCGGGCUCAACCUGGGAAUGGCAUUUGAGACUGGUGAGCUAGAGUGAGUCAGAGGGGGGUAGAAUUCCACGUGUAGCAGUGAAAUGCGUAGAGGUGUGGAGGAAUACCGAUGGCGAAGGCAGCCCCCUGGGAUGACACUGACGCUCAAGCACGAAAGCGUGGGGAGCAAACAGG